AUGUUUGCAGAUAUAAAGAGUUCAGGAAAUUCCUCCAUUGCUGCCAGCUUCCCUGAGGAGCAGAAAGGAAGCAUGGAGGACUUGAUCUACAUGUACUGCCAGAAGACAACUGAGCAAGGGAAAAGGAUCUCAUGUACAUUUGGAUCUCCAUGUACAUUAAUGGAUGUACACCUUAUGGUAGUGGAAAAGACCCUCAGCCAACAUAGGCUAGACAUAUACUUCUCACAGUCAAAAUGUUUAAGUGAAGUGGUUUCCCCAAGUGAAGCAUCAGGCAGCAAAAUGCUUGAACAGCAAUUUAGACUGAGAUGUGCAAAUAUCUGCAUGGGCAAUUUAAGCUUUUAUUUUUUUCACAAUGCCCUAAAUAUUAAUGUGGAAAUAUAUUGGUACUCACAAAUCUCUACACAAUAUUUUGCUGAAACACUUGAAGUUCCAAAUUUCUGUUUUGCUUUUUUGCCCAUCAUUUGAUAACUAUUUACUGUUGGCUGUUGUCCCAAACAAUCUUCCUGAACUUAAAGAUUUCAUUUUUGGCCUAAUUUACAGCAUCCCCAAAUACCAUAGGCAUAAACAUGAAAAGUCAGUGCUCAGCUUUUUCAGAAAGCUGUUGUAAAAGUAGAGAUAUGCCUAGGAACAACAGCUGAGGGGCUGUUGGGGAAUGCUUUUGGAAUUAGGGCUCCUUUUCCUAGACUACAGCCAGUUUAUUCUUUAAAAUAUACUGAGGUUGGUGCCACUUCCACUGAAACCAGUUCCAAGACUUCUUUUUCUUCAUGACAGCAUUAAAAAAAAAAAGACUGACUAACUGAAGUAUAGGCAAAUGAUGAUGCCAAAUCUGUGUUGUUCAGACACUCAUGUAGGAUUCAGAUCACCAUUACUGACUUACAGGAAAGCUUUGAAAGCAGAGCACGCUGCUUAAGGUUGACUCAGAAAAGUCCAAGGAUAGCCUUCAGUCCUGCAGCCUUUCCAACAGGAAUGGAAGAUGCAGGCUAGAAUGUCAGAGUUAAAACAUUACUCAAAGACUGGAAACUUGCCUUCCUGUCCUUGCUCUCCUCUUUGUUAUCAUGAGCUAACCUUUACGUGAAAUGAUUACAGAAUAUCACAGUUUGGAAGGGACCCAUAUGGACCACCAAGUCCAAUCCUGCUCCUCACACGACUAUCUAACACUAAACCAUGACUAAGAGUACUGUCCAGAUGCUCCCUGGACUCUGACACACUUGGUGCCAUGAUCACUCCCCUGGGGUGUCUGUUCCAGUGACUGGUCACCCACACAGUGGAGAACCUUCUCCAAAUAUCCAUCCUGAACUUUCCCUGAUGGACCUUCAUGCCAUUCUCUCACAUCCUAUUAUUUCUGGCCACCAGAGAGAGGAGAUCAGCACUUCUGCCUCCCUUGAGGAAGAUGUAGACUUUGUGGAGAUCACCCUUCACCUUCUCUUCUCCCAGCUGAACAAACCAAGUGACCUCAGCUGCCUCUCGUACAACAUCUUGCCCUUGAGACCUUUCACCAUCUUGGUCCCCUCCUCUGGACACACUCUGACAGUUUGAUGUGCUUCUUCCACUAAGGCACCCAAACCAGCUCAGAGCGCUCGAGGUGAGGCUGCACCAGGGCAGAGCAGAGCAGGAGCCACUUCCCAGUCACUUCCCUCACCUGGCUCACUGUGCUCUGCUGAUGCACCCCGGGGUACAGCUGGCCCUUUCAGCUGCCAGGGCACACUGCUGACUCACCUUCAGCUUGCCAUCAACCCAAACACCAUAUCUCUUUCCCCAGGACUGCUCUCCAGCCUCUCAUCACCCAAUCUGUUCCUAUAACCAGGGUUACCCCAUCCCAGGGGAGAGUCCGGCACUCACAUUUGUUAAAUGAUGCUGAUGGGACUUCCAUCCCAGAACCAUGGCAAGGUGCUGUGAUGCCACAGUGAUAGGACAGGUGAAAGGAUGUCAAAUGAGCUUGAAACAAGAAUUCUCAUUGCUCUUGUGUUUGUCUUUUCUGAAUAUGCAAUCCCUUGGAUUAUUUGAUGUGCAGGCACACUAGUGUAGAGCCCCUAACCAAUCCAAGUGAAUCUCACUCUAGAGAAAAAAAGAGGUCCAGAAACAAGUAAUUCCUAUUCCACAAGGUGGAAAUUGCCCAGAUGGCAUGUAUUCUAUGUCUCCACAUUCCUACACUCACACUGCAAGCCAGGAGAGAUUUUGGCCAACUCAGGCAUAGUACCUCAUGAGAAAGCAGAUGAGUCAUUGCAACUACAUGUCCCAUCUCAGAAAACCAAUGUAGCAGUCAGAAAGGAAGAAGAGGUUAGCAAGCUACUUCAUGUUAGUAGCUACUUCAUAGCUACUACAUCUAUGAUAAGGACAUCCAUUUGCUGGUUUUGGACAACUCUCACAGUAAAAUGUUAUUGCAGGAGAGUUGCUCAAAGCAUACACAGGUACCUAAAAUCUGAAGGUGCUACUCAGGGGCCAAGGAGUGUUCAGUGCAGAAAAUAUAAGAAGCUUUAAUAUACUCAUGCUUGUAAUAGAAUUUGUAAAUAAAACAUCAGGAAGUAUCCA
ensembl:lncRNA